AUGAAGGGGGUGGUGGUGCUUCUUCCCAACGCAGCAGCGGGAGCGUCCGCUCAGACCCACUUGCCUGAGUUUCCACGCUCUGCUAAUGGUAGAAAUCCGCCGUCUGCUCCCCUUGCCCAAGCCAAGGAAAGCGUGCCGCGCGAUGCAGGCGGCGGAGGACCUUCGUUGUUGCUUCUUAAGGCUGCUUACAAUGGAGGGAGGAGGAUCGACGUGCCGUCUAAGGCGAAGCGGGCGGCGGCGGCGGCGCGCUCUCUUGCCUGCCGACAGGAACGGACUGAAAAGCCAUGGAAAAACUUAAGACAUAGCGAGCGCGAGACCCGGAUGUACGAGGAGACGAGGGGAGGAGGUGGGGAGAGCCCAAAACGCUCUGGGCAUGCUUUUUUCUCCAUCGCCCAGUCCCUCUUUGUGUUAAUAACUCUUUAGGGGAAAGGGUCUGGCUUUCUGGAUUUGCAGGUCAAUUUUAAGGAACAGCACAGCGCUUGUGCUUGCUGCUAUUGUUCGUGCUAUCCAAAGGAUGUCAUCUGGAUCUUCUGCCCUGGGCACAAAAUACAUUGGACUGGAGCUGAGGAUAGAUGAGUGUGACAUUUACUUCCUGCUCUGUGGAUUUCUUAACAUUGCCCUUUAAGCAGUGGUCCCAGGCAAGUUUUUAAAUAUUGGGGGGUGGCAGCAGUAUGCUAAAAACCAGUGGCACACACAUACAUGUGCAUGUGUACAAAUGCGCAUGAACAUUUUUUCCCUGGUGUUACAAGCAUGCUGGCACUGGUAAAAAGCUUUUGUAUGAAACAGCUUCCUCUGCCUGUUUAAUGGUCAGCAAACUGAUUUCCUCUUUCCGUUUCUCUCGGUCUAAGAAAGUGGAUGCAAAUAAAACCAUAACUGCAUGUUCUUUUUGCUUAUCU
rnacentral:lncRNA from 1 species